GACGAACGCUGGCGGCGUGCCUAAUACAUGCAAGUCGAACGAGAGCGACCGGUGCUUGCACUGGUCAAUCUAGUGGCGAACGGGUGAGUAACACGUGGGUAACCUGCCCAUCAGAGGGGGAUAACACUCGGAAACGGAUGCUAAAACCGCAUAGGUCCUUUAACCGCAUGGUUGAAGGAGGAAAAGAGGCGCAAGCUUCUGCUGAUGGAUGGACCCGCGGUGCAUUAGCUAGUUGGUGAGGUAACGGCUCACCAAGGCCGUGAUGCGUAGCCGACCUGAGAGGGUGAUCGGCCACAUUGGAACUGAGACACGGCCCAAACUCCUACGGGAGGCAGCAGUAGGGAAUCUUCCGCAAUGGACGCAAGUCUGACGGAGCAACGCCGCGUGAGUGAAGAAGGUUUUCGGAUCGUAAAACUCUGUUGUUAGAGAAGAACAAGUGCUAGAGUAACUGUUAGCGCCUUGACGGUAUCUAACCAGAAAGCCACGGCUAACUACGUGCCAGCAGCCGCGGUAAUACGUAGGUGGCAAGCGUUGUCCGGAUUUAUUGGGCGUAAAGCGAGCGCAGGCGGUUCCUUAAGUCUGAUGUGAAAGCCCCCGGCUCAACCGGGGAGGGUCAUUGGAAACUGGGGAACUUGAGUGCAGAAGAGGAGAGUGGAAUUCCAUGUGUAGCGGUGAAAUGCGUAGAUAUAUGGAGGAACACCAGUGGCGAAGGCGACUCUCUGGUCUGUAACUGACGCUGAGGCUCGAAAGCGUGGGUAGCAAACAGG
rnacentral:rRNA from 1 species